rnacentral:misc_RNA from 1 species
UAAAUCAUCUGAACACCCUGCCCAGCCGGUCGACUGCCACCAACAAGAUCAUCGUCACCGACGGAGUCUUCAGCCAGGAUGGCGACAUCGCGCCGAUACCGGAUUUGUUGCAGCUCGCAGAGCGGCACGACGCAUAUCUUUAUGUCGAUGAUGCGCACGGCACGGGCGUCCUCGGUUCGCGAGGCGGCGGAAUACUCGAGCAC